GAUCAUGGCUCAGGAUGAACGCUAGCUACAGGCUUAACGCAUGCAAGUCGAGGGGCAGCGGGAUUGAAGCUUGCUUCAAUUGCCGGCGACCGGCGCACGGGUGAGUAACGCGUAUCCAACCUUCCGCAUACUCGGGGAUAGCCUUCUGAAAAGGAGAUUAAUACCCGAUGGUAUCAAGAGAUUGCAUGAUAACUUGAUUAAAGGAUUUCGGUAUGCGAUGGGGAUGCGUU
rnacentral:rRNA from 1 species